rnacentral:rRNA from 1 species
UAGCCUACGGGACGCAGCAGUGGGGAAUAUUGCACAAUGGGGGGAACCCUGAUGCAGCGACGCCGCGUGAGUGAAGAAGUAUUUCGGUAUGUAUAGCUCUGUCAGCAGGGAAGAAGAAAGACGGUACCUGACCAAGAAGCCCCGGCUAACUACGGGCCAGCAGCCGCGGGAAUACGUAGGGGGCAAGCGUUAUCCGGAUUUACUGGGUGUAAAGGGAGCGCAGACGGCAGUGCAAGUCUGGAGUGAAAGCCCGGGGCCCAACCCCGGAACUGCUCUGGAAACUGUGCGGCUAGAGUACUGGAGGG